AUUGAACGCUGGCGGCAUGCUUACACAUGCAAGUCGAGCGGCAGCGCGGGGGCAACCCUGGCGGCGAGCGGCGAACGGGUGAGGAAUACAUCGGAACGUGCCCGAGAGUGGGGGAUAACGCCGCGAAAGCGGCGCUAAUACCGCAUAUUCUCUGAGGAGGAAAGUGGGGGACCGCAAGGCCUCACGCUCACGGAGCGGCCGAUGUCGGAUUAGCUAGUUGGUGGGGUAAAGGCUUACCAAGGCGACGAUCCGUAGCUAAUCUGAGAGGAUGAUCAGCCACACUGGGACUGAGACACGGCCCAGACUCCUACGGGAGGCAGCAGUGGGGAAUUUUGGGCAAUGGGGGCAACCCUGAUCCAGCCAUGCCGCGUGCGGGAAGAAGGCCUUCGGGUUGUAAACCGCUUUUAACCGGGAAGAAAAGGCAUCUCUUAAUACGGGGUGUUCUUGACGGUACCGGUGGAAUAAGCACCGGCUAACUACGUG
rnacentral:rRNA from 1 species